rnacentral:rRNA from 1 species
AAAGGCCGCAGUAUUUUAACUGUGCAAAGGUAGCAUAAUCACUAGUCUUUUAAUUGAAGGCUUGUAUGAAUGGUUGGACGAGAUAUUAGCUGUUUCAUGAUGAUUAUAUUAGAAUUUUAUUUUUUAGUUAAAAAGCUAAAAUUAUUUUAAAAGACGAGAAGACCCUAUAGAUCUUUAUAUUUUAUAUAUUUUUAUAUACUUAGAUAAUUUAAUUUAUUAAUAUAUAAAUUAUUUUGUUGGGGUGACAUUAAAAUUUAAUUAACUUUUAAUUUUUUAUAAACAUUGAUUUAUGGAUAAAUGAUCCGUUAAUAUUGAUUAAAAAUUUAAGUUACCUUAGGGAUAACAGCGUAAUUUUUUUAGAGAGUUCAUAUCGAUAAAAAAGAUUGCGACCUCGAUGUUGGAUUAAGAUAUAAUUAUGGGUGUAGCAGUUCAUUAAUUAAGUC